UACGAAGGGGGCUAGCGUUGCUCGGAAUCACUGGGCGUAAAGCGCACGUAGGCGGACUCUUAAGUCAGGGGUGAAAUCCUGGAGCUCAACUCCAGAACUGCCUUCGAUACUGUUUGGCUUGAGACCGGAAGAGGUAAGUGGAACUGCGAGUGUAGAGGUGAAAUUCGUAGAUAUUCGCAAGAACACCAGUGGCGAAGGCGGCUUACUGGUCCGGUUCUGACGCUGAGGCGCGAAAGCGUGGGGAGCAAACAGG
rnacentral:rRNA from 1 species